rnacentral:rRNA from 1 species
CUGGCGGCAGGCCUAACACAUGCAAGUCGAACGGUAACAGGAAGCAGCUUGCUGCUUUGCUGACGAGUGGCGGACGGGUGAGUAAUGUCUGGGAAACUGCCUGAUGGAGGGGGAUAACUACUGGAAACGGUGGCUAAUACCGCAUAACGUCGCAAGACCAAAGAGGGGGACCUUCGGGCCUCUUGCCAUCAGAUGUGCCCAGAUGGGAUUAGCUUGUUGGUGAGGUAACGGCUCACCAAGGCGACGAUCCCUAGCUGGUCUGAGAGGAUGACCAGCCACACUGGAACUGAGACACGGUCCAGACUCCUACGGGAGGCAGCAGUGGGGAAUAUUGCACAAUGGGCGCAAGCCUGAUGCAGCCAUGCCGCGUGUAUGAAGAAGGCCUUCGGGUUGUAAAGUACUUUCAGCGGGGAGGAAGGUGUUGUGGUUAAUAACCGCAGCAAUUGACGUUACCCGCAGAAGAAGCACCGGCUAACUCCGUGCCAGCAGCCGCGGUAAUACGGAGGGUGCAAGCGUUAAUCGGAAUUACUGGGCGUAAAGCGCACGCAGGCGGUCUGUCAAGUCGGAUGUGAAAUCCCCGGGCUCAACCUGGGAACUGCAUUCGAAACUGGCAGGCUUGAGUCUUGUAGAGGGGGGUAGAAUUCCAGGUGUAGCGGUGAAAUGCGUAGAGAUCUGGAGGAAUACCGGUGGCGAAGGCGGCCCCCUGGACAAAGACUGACGCUCAGGUGCGAAAGCGUGGGGAGCAAACAGGAUUAGAUACCCUGGUAGUCCACGCCGUAAACGAUGUCUACUUGGAGGUUGUGCCCUUGAGGCGUGGCUUCCGGAGCUAACGCGUUAAGUAGACCGCCUGGGGAGUACGGCCGCAAGGUUAAAACUCAAAUGAAUUGACGGGGGCCCGCACAAGCGGUGGAGCAUGUGGUUUAAUUCGAUGCAACGCGAAGAACCUUACCUGGUCUUGACAUCCACAGAAGAAUCCAGAGAUGGAUUUGUGCCUUCGGGAACUGUGAGACAGGUGCUGCAUGGCUGUCGUCAGCUCGUGUUGUGAAAUGUUGGGUUAAGUCCCGCAACGAGCGCAACCCUUAUCCUUUGUUGCCAGCGGUCCGGCCGGGAACUCAAAGGAGACUGCCAGUGAUAAACUGGAGGAAGGUGGGGAUGACGUCAAGUCAUCAUGGCCCUUACGACCAGGGCUACACACGUGCUACAAUGGCGCAUACAAAGAGAAGCGACCUCGCGAGAGCAAGCGGACCUCAUAAAGUGCGUCGUAGUCCGGAUUGGAGUCUGCAACUCGACUCCAUGAAGUCGGAAUCGCUAGUAAUCGUGGAUCAGAAUGCCACGGUGAAUACGUUCCCGGGCCUUGUACACACCGCCCGUCACACCAUGGGAGUGGGUUGCAAAAGAAGUAGGUAGCUUAACCUUCGGGAGGGCGCUUACCACUUUGUGAUUCAUGACUGGGGUGAAGUCGUAACAAGGUAACCGUAGGGGAACCUGC